rnacentral:rRNA from 1 species
UGGGGAAUAUUGCACAAUGGAGGAAACUCUGAUGCAGCGACGCCGCGUGGAGGAAGAAGGUCUUCGGAUUGUAAACUCCUGUUGUUGGGGAAAAUAAGGAUGGUACCCAACAAGGAAGUGACGGCUAACUACGUGCCAGCAGCCGCGGUAAAACGUAGGUCACAAGCGUUGUCCGGAAUUACUGGGUGUAAAGGGAGCGCAGGCGGGUAUGCAAGUUGGAAGUGAAAUACAUGGGCUCAACCCAUGAACUGCUUUCAAAACUGUGUAUCUUGAGUAGUGCAGAGGUAGGCGGAAUUCCCGGUGUAGCGGUGGAAUGCGUAGAUAUCGGGAGGAACACCAGUGGCGAAGGCGGCCUACUGGGGCACCAACUGACGCUGAGGCUCGAAAGUGUGGGUAUCAAACAGGAUUAGAUACCCUU